rnacentral:misc_RNA from 1 species
AAGGAUUUAAUUUCAUGGAUUCCAAUUCCACCGUCGAGGAAUCCGCCAACAAGAUUGAGGAUGAGGUCGCUAGAGUGGUUGAGCAGGCCAAAGACCUGCAGGAUUCUGCGGCUUCUUUAAUCUCAAGGUCUUCCAACGAUGAACAGUCCCUCCGCCAGCGUGUUCUUUCCCUCGACUCUUCCAUACGUCGCUGCCGCUCCCUCCUCGAUUCUCUCCUCUCCCAUAAGCUUCUCGAUUCCAAGCUAGCUGAUAAGCUCGAAGAGGAUUUACAUAGAGCUAGAUGUAUCAUGGUUGAUGGAGACGCCGCUGCUUUUCUUCCAACCAAAGCUCAGGGGGGUUUUCUCAAGAUGUUUCUGGGACCUAUAAAUGUCCGAGCCUCUCGUAAAGAUGUUCAAUUGAAGGUCAAGGAGGAGUACAACAGUUACAGGGAUAGAACGGCCCUUCUAUUUCUACUUUUCCCAUCAGUUCUACUAAUCCUAAGAUCUUGGGUCUGGAAUGGAUGCUUGCCGGCAUUUCCUGUUCAACUCUACCAGGCAUGGCUAUUGUUCCUCUAUACCGGCUUGGCUUUGCGAGAAAACAUUUUAAGAGCCAAUGGAAGUGAUAUUCGUCCAU